rnacentral:rRNA from 1 species
AUACGUAGGGGGCAAGCGUUGUCCGGAAUCAUUGGGCGUAAAGGGUGAGUAGGCGGGAUGGUAAGUCAGAGGUGAAAGUCCAGGGCUCAACUCUGGAUCUGCCUCUGAUACUGCUGUCCUUGAGUGCGGGAGAGGGAAGUGGAAUUCCCGGUGUAGCGGUGAAAUGCGUAGAUAUCGGGAAGAACACCAGUGGCGAAGGCGGCUUCCUGGCCCGCAACUGACGCUGAAUCACGAAAGCGUGGGGAGCAAACAGGAUUAGAAACCCGAGUAGUCC